UGCUCUAUAUUAUUCAGACUUCUAAACUGUUCAGGUCUUAACACUCAUUUUUAUCAAACACCACCCAAGUCAAUAAGGUAUAGAUGUUAGCAUUCACUUACAAUAACAGUUCUAGAAAUAAGAGCAGCCUCAAUCAUGGUAGAUUAAUGAUUAAUACACCCAGAUAAAUGCAUUCAUGCUGUGAUAUCCAUAUUAAAACACAAAUUCUACUGUUUCUGAACAGGCCUUCUUGUACUUCAUAACAAAUGAAAGAAAAUAUAAUUCUCACCAUCAACAGACAUGUAACUGUGAGGAACAGAAGGAUAUGAUAAAUGCAACUUCCAAAAAAUGCAGCUUGAAUUAGGUUGUAUAUAUUGCAGUUCGCCUCUUGAAGCUUACUAUGAGAAACAUUCAAAAUCUAGUCCGAUGCAAGAUUGAUAGCAUUCCAGAAGUUGAUGAUCUUAUGGGAGGCAUUGGUUUGCUGAAUACUUUUUUGGGGAGGACAUCUCCUGGGAAUCUUUUCGAGCUUAAAAGUAAGUUAAAGAGUCUGGAUGGGAAAAUAAAAGAAUUAUCAAAUGUUUUUCAAAACCCUGGCCCUUUACAUGAUAUUAUUGUAUGUUGGAUAGAUCAACAUGAAUCACAAAGUGGAGAAGGUUUCAAGCGCCUUCAACUACUCAUUAUUGAACUAACACGGUCUGGGAUUUUCUACCCUCAAGCAUAUGUGAGGCAAUUGAUUGUUAGUGGAAUUAUGGAUCGGGAUGGCCCUCUAGCUGAUCUGGACAGAAGGAAGAGACAUUGUAAAAUCUUAAAGCAGCUCCCUGGUCCUUAUAUUUGUGAUGCUUUAGAAGAAGCACAAGUCAUAGAGGUGGCAAUGCUUGCAGAAGCCAUGCAUGUUUACUCAAAUGAACGUCGACUUGUGCUUCGUGGGCUUAUUGAUAAUCAAAAAAGCAUAAACAGAACAAAUAUUUUGUCUCAGAAACAAAAGAAUCGCCUAAACUUUGUCUGGGAUAGUUCUUCAUUGUCGCCCGUAGAUCUGUGGAAAAGUGUGCCAUCAGAAACAACUGUAUUAGGUUGUAUUACCUUUCCUAGUUGUUCAAAAAAUCCAUAUUGACAACUCUGAAAGAAGUCUUCACCUGAUUUAUUCUCAAAAGAUUAACACCAAAAUUUCACUACUGGGAAUUUUGGCUUUUGAAACAUACAAUUUGAUUGUUUUCAGUCCUAAAAAAACAUACAAUUUGAUUGGUAAUGGUCAAAAAUUACCUGCACCUAAUAGUCAGUCCUAAAAAAAAAACAAAGUCAUUUGAGAAUAAAAACUUCAAAAGGUAGAAAACCAAAAAUAUGACAACUUCAAAUCAACUAAUUAACAGACCCAUAUCAAAAAUGAACAGAAAUCAAUAAGCAAGAAUUGACCCAUCAAUACCCGUAUAAUCCAAAUACUCAAAAAGAGUUCUCGGUUCUCAGAAUUGACCCAUCAACCACAGCGAAACAUCACAGAAAAAUUAGAAGGAAAAAGACACAUACCAAAUACAGCCUAAAUCGCGAAUCUUAGAGAAGCUUUAGUUGAGAAGAGAGAUUCUUAGAGAAGCUAGGGCACAGCGAACUAUUAUGCGAUUCUCAGGGCUUGCAGAUUAGGAGAGAAUCGCGACCCAUUUGGAGAGAAUCACUGAGAAUCGCAACCCAUUUGGAGAGCAGUGGGAAACUAGGGCUUGCAGAUUCGCGAGAGAGGGUAGGAGAGAAUGGCGAAGUUCAGAUUUGGGUUUUUUAAAAAAGACGCGGAAGGUUGGCUAAG
rnacentral:lncRNA from 1 species